GCGGCGGCUCUUCAGAGCAUGUAAAUGAUGUAGGACAGGACCACCAGGCCGAUGAUGGCGAAAAACAUCAGGAUGAAAAUGUCCAGCAUGGCAGGCGAGGAGCCCAGGAGCUGCAGCCCAGGAGGAUCCCCGGGGAUGCCGGCGUGUCCCAGGCUCAGGGGAGAUGAAAACCCCAGCUCUGGAAGCUUCCCUGUCCCCUCCCCAGCUCUGGAAGCUUCCCCGUGUCCCAACCAAGCAGGAAAAGCGGCCGCAAUCAAAGCCAGCACAAUCAGCAGGCAGGAGGACACAAGGACAAAACCCCAAAAGAGCGACGGAUCCCAAGGAAAACACGUUCUAAGCUCAGCACUGAGACACAGCCAGG